rnacentral:rRNA from 1 species
GAUGAACGCUGACAGAAUGCUUAACACAUGCAAGUCAACUUGAACUUCGGUUUGGGUGGCGGACGGGUGAGUAACGCGUAAAGAACUUGCCUCACAGAUAGGGGCAACAUUUGGAAACGAAUGCUAAUACCUGAUAUUAUGAUUUUAGGGCAUCCUAGGAUUAUGAAAGCUAUAUGCGCUGUGAGAGAGCUUUGCGUCCCAUUAGCUAGUUGGAGAGGUAACGGCUCACCAAGGCGAUGAUGGGUAGCCGGCCUGAGAGGGUGAUCGGCCACAAGGGGACUGAGACACGGCCCUUACUCCUACGGGAGGCAGCAGUGGGGAAUAUUGGACAAUGGACCAAGAGUCUGAUCCAGCAAUUCUGUGUGCACGAUGAAGUUUUUCGGAAUGUAAAGUGCUUUCAGUUGGGAAGAAAAAAAUGACGGUACCAACAGAAGAAGUGACGGCUAAAUACGU